CCUACGGGAUGCAGCAGUGAGGAAUAUUGGUCAAUGGCCGUAAGGCUGAACCAGCCAAGUCGCGUGAAGGAAGAAGGAUCUAUGGUUUGUAAACUUCUUUUAUAGGGGAAUAAAGGUAUCCACGUGUGGAUAUUUGCAUGUACCCUAUGAAUAAGCAUCGGCUAACUCCGUGCCAGCAGCCGCGGUAAUAAGGAGGAUGCGAGCGUUAUCCGGAUUUAUUGGGUUUAAAGGGUGCGUAGGCGGGCUUUUAAGUCAGCGGUAAAAAUUCGGGGCUCAACCCCGUCCGGCCGUUGAAACUGGAGUGUGUGAGAGGAUAGUGGAAUUCCAGGUGUAGGAGUGAAAUCCGUAGAUAUCUGGAGGAACAUCAGUGGCGAAGGCGACUAUCUGGCACAUAACUGACGCUGAGGAGCGAAAGCGUGGGUAGCAAACAGGAUUAGAUACCCGGGUAGUC
rnacentral:rRNA from 1 species